rnacentral:rRNA from 1 species
UACGUAGGGCGCAAGCGUUGUCCGGAAUUACUGGGCGUAAAGCGAGCGUAGUCGGUUAUUUAAGUCGGAUGUGAAAUCCCCGGGCUCAACCUGGGAAUUGCAUUCGAAACUGGAUAGCUAGAGUUCGGCAGAGGGAAGCGGAAUUUCUGGUGUAGCGGUGAAAUGCGUAGAUAUCAGAAGGAACAUCAGUGGCGAAAGCGGCUUCCUGGACCAGAACUGACGAUCAGGCUCGAAAGCGUGGGGAGCAAACAGG